AACUGGCCGCGGCGCCCGGAGCUCCAGCCAAUCCUUAAGGCCUUUGGAAGCUCCGCGGCCGAGCAGUACGCAGCCGAGCCAAUGGGCGGCCGCGUUACAGGCUGCUGGACGCCGGAGUCGCGAGGCCUCGCCGUGUCCGUGGCUGGCCGCCGUGGAGGCCCGCUAGUGGCUGGCGGUGGCGCCUCGGCGCGGGGGUCUGCAUCCGACCCGGGCCUGGAGGGCGGGGCAGGCGGCCGGCGGCAGAGAAUAAGCAGGGGCGGGCAGCCGGGCCCAGCGGUGCAGCACCCGCCUGCAGCCCCGGGCGUGAUCCUGGGACCCGGGAUCGAGUCCCGCCUCGGGCUCCUGCAUGGAGCCUGCUUCUCCUCUGCCUGUGUCUCUCAUGAAUAAAUAAAUCUUUAAAAAACAAAAAUAAGUAGGGGAAACCGAUGGGGGCGGGUGGACAGCUCCCUGAUUUUGAUGGGAAGAGUCGUGUGCUGGCUGUGCUCUCCGGAUCUCUCUGCCAGCAUCUUGCGGACUCAACCUCGGGAUCUGGGUGAAAUCAUCUGUACAAUGAAAUGAUGCUCUCCGACCUGCCUUCUCAUGGAGGUGAUGGGAUGUUAGAAAUGAAAUAGAAGCCUAGUGGGCUGUGGAAGUAUAUGCAAGGUGGCGUGAAUGUUUUUGAAUUACUCAUUUAGAUUUAUACCGAAUUGAUGGAGGCUGUCCUCACAGUAUAUAAUUACAUUUAUGGGACCCCUGCUGGGGUAUCCUACCCAACACGGGAGUUGGCAGGAAAAAUCUGAAGGGGAUUGAGAUUGGGGACUGGGAGACCAAAUAGGACUCCUAGUUACCUGACUUUGAGGUGCUAUGAGUCUAGUCUUCAGUGGUGACAAUGGGAAUAAGAAAGGUAGUGGAGUUGAUGGAAAGGAAAGAAUGAGGAUUGAAGACUUGAGAGAGAGGGCAGCUCUUGAAACGACAGGGUAUCCAAGUGGAAAUGUCCUGUGG